UAGGGAAUCUUCCGCAAUGGACGAAAGUCUGACGGAGCAACGCCGCGUGAGUGAAGAAGGAUUUCGGUUCGUAAAACUCUGUUGUUAGGGAAGAAAAAAUGUAUAGUAACUAUAUACAAAAGAGACGGUACCUAACCAGAAAGCCACGGCUAACUACGUGCCAGCAGCCGCGGUAAUACGUAGGUGGCAAGCGUUGUCCGGAAUUAUUGGGCGUAAAGCGCGCGCAGGUGGUUUGUCACGUCGUCUGUGAAAUCCUAGGGCUUAACCCUGGACGUGCAGGCGAUACGGGCUGACUUGAGUACUACAGGGGAGACUGGAAUUUCUGGUGUAGCGGUGGAAUGCACAGAUAUCAGGAAGAACACCGAUGGCGAAGGCAGGUCUCUGGGUAGUAACUGACGCUGAGGAGCGAAAGCAUGGGUAGCGAACAGG
rnacentral:rRNA from 1 species